rnacentral:pre_miRNA from 1 species
UUCGUACCUCCGUUUCAUAAUUCUUGUCGAAAUAUUAAAUGUAUCUAGACGCUUUUUUGGAAUAGAUACAUCCAUAUUUAAACAAAUUUGAGACAAGAAUUAUGAAACGGAGAAAGUAUAAA